rnacentral:rRNA from 1 species
AGAUUGAACGCUGGCGGCAUGCUUUACACAUGCAAGUCGAACGGCAGCACGGGGGCAACCCUGGUGGCGAGUGGCGAACGGGUGAGUAAUGCAUCGGAACGUAUCUUUAAGUGGGGGAUAACGCAUCGAAAGAUGCGCUAAUACCGCAUAAUCUCUGAGGAGAAAAGCAGGGGAUCGCAAGACCUUGCGCUUUUGGAGCGGCCGAUGUCUGAUUAGCUAGUUGGUGGGGUAACGCCUACCAAGGCGACGAUCCAUAGCUGGUCUGAGAGGAUGAUCAGCCACACUGGGACUGAGACACGGCCCAGACUCCGUA